rnacentral:rRNA from 1 species
CCUACGGGAGGCAGCAGUGGGGAAUAUUGGACAAUGGGCGAAAGCCUGAUCCAGCAAUGCCGCGUGAGUGAAGAAGGCCUUCGGGUUGUAAAGCUCUUUUACCCGGGAAGAUAGUGACUGUACCGGGAGAAUAAGCUCCGGCUAACUCCGUGCCAGCAGCCGCGGUAAUACGGAGGGAGCUAGCGUUGUUCGGAAUUACUGGGCGUAAAGCGUACGUAGGCGGCUUGGUAAGUCAGAGGUGAAAGCCCACGACUCAAUCGUGGAACUGCCUUUGAGACUGCUUCGCUUGAAGAUGGGAGAGGUUAGUGGAAUUCCGAGUGUAGAGGUGAAAUUCGUAGAUAUUCGGAAGAACACCAGUGGCGAAGGCGGCUAACUGGACCAUUCUUGACGCUGAGGUACGAAAGCGUGGGGAGCAAACAGGAUUAGAUACCCUGGUAGUCCACGCCGUAAACGAUGAUAACUAGCUGUCGGGGCUCUUGGAGCUUCGGUGGCGCAGCUAACGCAUUAAGUUAUCCGCCUGGGGAGUACGGCGCAAGGUUAAAACUAAUAAGAAUUGACGG